rnacentral:ncRNA from 1 species
GUUUCAGGGCGGGGUGUAAGUCCCCACCGGCGGUAUAGUCCGCGAGCGCGCUUGCGCUGACCGGGUGAAAUUCCCGGACCGACGGUAUAGUCCGGAUGAAAGAAA